rnacentral:rRNA from 1 species
UAUCGCGUGGGAAACCUGCCUUUGAGCGGGGGAUAACAGUUCUAACGGACUGCUAAUACCGCAUGACGCUGUUGAUCGCAUGUUCAACAGUUAAAGAUGGCCUCUACAUGUAAGCUGUCGCUUAAAGAUGGUCCCGCGUCCUAUUAGCUUGUUGGUGGGGUAACGGCCUACCAAGGCAGCGAUGGGUAGCCGGCCUGAGAGGGUGGUCGGCCACACUGGGACUGAGAUACGGCCAGACUCCUACGGGAGGCAGCAGUCGAGAGGCUUCGGCAAUGGGGGAAACCCUGACCGAGCGACGUCGCGUGGGUGAUGAAGAUUCUUGGAUCGUAAAACCCUGUCAGGUGGGAUGAAAUGCCAUUAGGUCAAUAGCCUAGUGGCUUGACAGUACCACCAGAGGAAGCUCCGGCUAACUCCGUGCCAGCAGCCGCGGUAACACGGGGGGAGCAAGCGUUGUUCGGAAUCAUUGGGCGUAAAGAGCUCGUAGGCGGCUCCGUAAGUUGGUGGUGAUAUCCAAUGGCUCAACCAUUGUCGCGCCUCCAAAACUGCGGAA